UGCGCAGGCGGUUAUAUAAGACAGAUGUGAAAUCCCCGGGCUCAACCUGGGAACUGCAUUUGUGACUGUAUAGCUGGAGUACGGCAGAGGGGGAUGGAAUUCCGCGUGUAGCAGUGAAAUGCGUAGAUAUGCGGAGGAACACCGAUGGCGAAGGCAAUCCCCUGGGCCUGUACUGACGCUCAUGCACGAAAGCGUGGGGAGCAAACA
rnacentral:rRNA from 1 species